GUCAAUGGGGGCAACCCUGAACCAGCCAAGUCGCGUGAAGGAUGAAGGUCUUAUGGAUUGUAAACUUCUUUUAUACAGGAAUAAAUUGGGGGACGUGUCCCCUUUUGCCUGUACUGUAUGAAUAAGGAUCGGCUAACUCCGUGCCAGCAGCCGCGGUAAUACGGAGGAUCCGAGCGUUCUCCGGAUUUAUUGGGUUUAAAGGGUGCGCAGGCGGGAUGUUAAGUCGGCGGUGAAAUUUUGCAGCUCAACUGUAAAAGUGCCUUCGAUACUGGCUUCCUUGAGUGUAGAUGAAGUAGGCGGAAUUUGUGGUGGAGCGGUGAAAUGCUUAGAUAUCACGAGGAACUCCGAUUUCGCAGGCAGCUUACUAAACUACAACUGACGCUGAUGCACGAAGGCGUGGGGAUCAAACA
rnacentral:rRNA from 1 species